rnacentral:rRNA from 1 species
UACAGAGGUCUCGAGCGUUGUUCGGAUUCAUUGGGCGUAAAGGGUGCGUAGGUGGCGCUGUAAGUCGGGUGUGAAAUCCUGAGGCUUAACCUCGGAACUGCAUUCGAUACUGCCGUGCUUGAGGACUGGAGAGGAGACUGGAAUUUACGGUGUAGCGGUGAAAUGCGUAGAUAUCGUAAGGAAGACCAGUGGCGAAGGCGGGUCUCUGGACAGUUCCUGACGCUGAGGCACGAAGGUCAGGGGAGCAAACGGG